AAGGUUGUCUUCAGAAUCUUUUAAUAGUUCUUAAGUGAUUUGCUUAUUUCUGCCAGAUUUAUCGACAGAAUUGGAGCUUGCCUUCUCUCUCACCAAGCAGAUCCUUGCAGACCUAGGAUGGUGAAAAUUUUCUGAUGGCACCCUGAAGGUUGCCAGGCUUCAUCACUUGUUCACUGCUUCAAGAACAAGUUGAAACCAGGCCGCGAGGCUCUUCAUCACAGUGGUGGAAGAUUGUGCUACACAAACUGUCAAUGGAGCGUGAAAUCCGGCCAGCCAUGCAUUAUGGAUGGGGCAAAGUCCACCUUAUUUUUAGAUUGUGGCUCUUGUGGAGCUGCAGUACAGUGCAUUGUGUGCUAUACUGUAUUAGUUAGGCCAAAUAAAGUGCAAAUUGACUGACAGCACUUUUCACCAAAAUGUAAAUAUUUAAGCAGGC
rnacentral:lncRNA from 1 species